AGAAGUAUCACGGAUGUGUCGCUUAGGAGCAUUCGGCAUUCACAAAAAUACACCUUUCUAUUUCACUAUCAGCAGCAAAAUGAUGUGAAUCACCUAAUUUUGAACGCCAACAAAUAAUUUAAUGAGUAAUGGUCUUAUGAACAUAGCCUAACCCACUUAGCAUUAAAAAAUAGUAACAUUAUUUUAUAUCUAACCACUUAUUCCAAUGAAAUCAACAGCAAAACGGGAUUUACUAGGGCAAUUAGACAUCAAAGGAACAUAUCAAUUCACAAACUUAAAGCCAAUCUGGUCAUUGGAUUACUUAGCAGAAAGAUGGAAUCAAUUUACUAAAAUGAAACAUUAAGUCUACCAACAGGUAUGACAAAGAGAAGCACACUUCAAACUUGUACUAAUUACACUAGUGAAGCAAAACAGUCCUGGUCUCGUCCUCUAAUAUGAUUGCAUAGAAACUUAAGAGCUUUAGAGUUAACCAUGAAUACCUGAAUCUAAAACAUGAGACAAUAAUGAGCCUAGGACACAUGAUCUAAUACACAGAAUAUUAACCUGAGUAUGGAGAUGCUAUGAAUACUUUAUUGUUCUACUAAUUAUUAUAAACAUUAUAUAAAGGCUAACUUAGCCGAAAGGAUAAUAGUAAAGAUAAAGAAAGAAAGAAAAACAAAGGAACAAAGAGAAUUUUCAUGCUUAAGAUCUUAUUUCACCUUCAACUGGUGGAAUACAUCUGUAGAAUUGAGAAUAAGUACUUGGAUAGUAAGGAAAAUGCGAACUGGGAAGAGUCAGUGGUAGUUGAAAUCAACAGCAAUAACUCAAGAUCCAAACUCAAAUUCAAGCUGGAAACCCCAUAUGUACCACCAGAUCAAGUUUAUAAAUCAUUUUUGAAAAAAUAGAAUUUCAAUCCAUUUGAAGAUCCCCCAGGAACCAAACAAAUGACUUCAGUAAGUUCAAAUCCUUAAAGUUCAAAGCAGAGACUUAAUGAAACAGUAAAUUCUGAUUUUCUAGCCUAUUUCAAAUUUUUCUGGAUUUGUUUCAGCUUUUGAAAAUCUUAACCCUAUUUUUCAGCCCAUUGGAACUCAAGGUCAGCCGGAAUUUUCAGCUCUCUAAUUUCUUGAGAUUAUAUUCGUAUAUUUUUUUCUGAAAACUUCUCCCUUUUUUUUACUUGCCCUCAAAGGCAAGAAUGAAUUCCCUUUAUAGGCAAGCACCUAGGGCAUCGUUCAAAUUUUUUAUUUCAACUUAGUCCUUCAUUUUUUAACUUGUUAACCAAUUGAUAUCACUAAAAUUAAAAAACAAUCCCCUCUAGAAGUUUCCAGAUCAGUUCAGUUAGAGAAAGGAUUCCCUCCCAAAAUACCUAUAUUACCCUCAUAUACCCUUGCUAUUACUUUUCAAAAAUAAGAAUGGGUCUAAGGACCCAAUGGCUUAAACCCCAAACUGAAAUGGGUUGCUCCUUGCAAAUGGGUUAACAACAAACUCAACUCAAGCGAUGAACUAUCCAGCUAAAUUAUGUAAGUAUCUAACAAACAACACCAAUAUUGGAAUGAUUUUUAUAUCUGAAGAAACUUAAACUACAUUGCUGAUUAAUUAACCCUUAAAUGACCUAAUUCAAUAAGCCUAGAUGGCUGAUUACAAAGUAGUGAAAUUAGGAACUGAACAUGCAUGUUGAUACAAGACAAACAGACUAAAAACAAUCACAAAAUAUACCUAGAAAAAUCAUUAUUAAUCAAAAGCUUUAAAGUCAGCACUCAAUUUAGCUGAAACCUCAUUCAAAUAACAAUUUUAAUCAAUUGGAGAGGAAGAAAGGAGAUGAAGAGGAAUGAAGACUAAACGAAUCGAAGAAACUCACCUAUGCUCGUACUCAAGGCCGACUUUCCCAAUUUAACCAGGGUAUAAUAUCAAUUACCCGUUCCUUGUCAAGAUUAGGUAAAGGAUAAUAAUACAUGGUAAUAUUGGGCCUGAAACUCAAAGAAAACUGGAGGCGAGUCUUACAUGCUCGAUUUCCAACUUAAAACUUUCCAAGCUUGAACCUCGGAUUUUAAAUUAAAAGACCUUGAGUGACAUUUGAAGGAAAAGGACGACGGAUUUAGGAUGAGGGAGAUAUGGAGGUUGUUUAGUGUGAUUUUGAGACGAUUUUACAGUUGUGCCGAUGUGCACGACGCUGGAGUCCAUGCUUCAAACGGAUAUUCGAGGGAUUUGGAUGAUAUUCAAGGGAAACCAAGCGUGGAAUUGGAAAGAGGAGGUAGAGUGGUGUAAUUUUGGUGCCAUUUGGAACACUGUUGCCGGCGGCAGCGAUUUCUGGUCGGCGACGCAUGGCGGAGAAGGGUAGCGUUUAGGGUUUUCUAAGUGUAGGGGGGGAGAUGAGGG
rnacentral:lncRNA from 1 species